AAGGUUUUAAGUUAAUUAAAACUAAUAGCCUUCAAAGCUGUAAAUAAAAGAAUAAUCUUUUAAACUUUA
rnacentral:tRNA from 1 species